GAGAAAGUAUGAUCGACUAAGUUCGUCACGUCCUGUGACAACGUCGAUCUGACCCACGUCGUGUGGG
rfam:Pontibacillus marinus BH030004 = DSM 16465 strain BH030004 contig35, whole genome shotgun sequence.